UCCACAGAUAAUAAAACUAUCAUAUGCCUUGGAAAGUGAUAUGAGGUGCUCGGAAAUGGUUGAAGUAAUUGAAUAGGAGGAUCACUAUGACUAUAGCCCUUGGUAGAAUUCCUAAAGAAGAAAAUGAUCUAUUUGAUACUAUGGAUGACUGGUUAUGAAGGGACCGUUUCGUUUUUGUAGGAUGGUCUGGCCUAUUGCUCUUUCCUUGUGCUUAUUUCGCUUUAGGGGGUUGGUUUACAGGGACAACUUUUGUAACUUCUUGGUAUACCCAUGGAUUGGCUAGUUCCUAUUUGGAAGGUUGUAAUUUCUUAACCGCAGCAGUUUCUACCCCUGCCAAUAGUUUAGCACACUCUUUGUUGCUACUAUGGGGGCCCGAAGCACAAGGAGAUUUUACUCGUUGGUGUCAAUUAGGCGGUCUAUGGACUUUUGUAGCUCUCCACGGGGCUUUUGCACUAAUAGGUUUCAUGGUACGCCAAUUUGAACUUGCUCGGUCUGUUCAAUUGCGGCCUUAUAAUGCAAUCUCAUUCUCUGGUCCAAUUGCUGUUUUUGUUUCUGUAUUCCUUAUUUAUCCACUGGGGCAAUCUGGUUGGUUCUUUGCGCCGAGUUUUGGCGUAGCAGCGGUAUUUCGAUUCAUCCUUUUCUUCCAAGGAUUUCAUAAUUGGACGUUGAACCCAUUUCAUAUGAUGGGAGUUGCCGGAGUAUUAGGUGCGGCUCUGCUAUGCGCUAUUCAUGGAGCGACCGUAGAACUAUUUGAGGACGGUGCUGGUGCAAAUACCUUCCGUGCUUUUAACCCAACUCAAGCUGAAGAAACUUAUUCCAUGGUCACUGCUAACCGCUUUUGGUCCCAAAUCUUUGGUGUUGCUUUUUCCAAUAAACGUUGGUUACAUUUCUUUAUGCUAUUUGUACCCAUCACCGGUUUAUGGAUGAGUGCUAUUGGCGUAGUUGGCUUGGCUCUGAACUUACGUGCCUAUGACUUUGUUUCCCAGGAAAUCCGUGCAGCAGAAGAUCCUGAAUUUGAGACUUUCUACACCAAAAAUAUUCUUUUAAAUGAGGGUAUUCGUGCGUGGAUGGCAGCUCAGGAUCAGCCUCAUGAAAAUCUUAUAUUCCCUGAGGAGGUUCUACCACGUGGAAACGCUCUUUAAUGGAACUUUCGUUUUAGCUGGUCGUGACCAAGAAACCACCGGCUUUGCUUGGUGGGCUGGGAAUGCCAGACUUAUCAAUUUGUCCGGUAAACUGCUUGGAGCUCAUGUAGCCCAUGCCAGAUUAAUCGUAUUCUGGGCCGGAGCAAUGAACCUAUUUGAAGUGGCCCAUUUCGUACCAGAAAAGCCCAUGUAUGAACAAGGGUUGAUUUUACUUCCACACUUAGCUACUCUAGGUUGGGGAGUAGGGCCAGGGGGAAGUUCUAGAUACUUUUCCGUACUUUGUAUCUGGCGUACUUCACCUAAUUUCCUCCGCAGUCUUAGGCUUCGGUGGCAUUUAUCACGCGCUUCUGGGACCCGAGACCCUUGAGGAAUCUUUUCCAUUCUUUGGUUAUGUCUGGAAAGAUAGAAAUGAAAUGACUACAAUUUUGGGUAUUCACUUAAUUUUGUUAGGUCUAGGUGCUUUUCUUCUAGUACUCAAGGCUCUUUAUUUUGGCGGUGUAUAUGAUACCUGGGCCCCUGGGGGGGGGGAGAUGUAAGAAAUAUUACCAAUUUGACCCUUAGCCCCAGUGUUAUAUUUGGUUAUUUACUAAAAUCUCCUUUUGGUGGAGAAGGGUGGAUUGUUAGUGUAGAUGAUUUAGAAGAUAUAAUUGGUGGGUAUGUAUGGUUGGGUUUUAUUUGUGUAUUUGGCGGAAUUUGGCAUAUUUUAACCAAACCCUUCGCAUGGGCUCGCCGUGCAUUUGUAUGGUCUGGAGAAGCUUACUUGUCUUAUAGUUUAGCUGCUUUAUCUGUCUUUGGUUUUAUCGCUUGUUGUUUUGUAUGGUUCAAUAAUACAGCUUAUCCGAGUGAGUUUUAUGGACCCACCGGGCCAGAAGCUUCUCAAGCUCAAGCAUUUACUUUUCUAGUUAGAGACCAGCGUCUUGGAGCUAAUGUGGGAUCCGCUCAAGGACCCACAGGUUUAGGUAAAUAUCUAAUGCGUUCCCCAACUGGGGAGGUUAUCUUUGGAGGGGAAACUAUGCGUUUUUGGGACCUUCGUGCUCCAUGGUUCGAACCUCUAAGGGGCCCCAACGGUUUGGACUUGAGUAGGUUGAAAAAAGACAUACAACCUUGGCAAGAACGACGCUCAGCAGAAUAUAUGACCCACGCUCCUUUAGGCUCUUUAAAUUCCGUGGGUGGCGUAGCUACCGAGAUCAAUGCAGUUAAUUAUGUCUCUCCUAGAAGUUGGUUAUCAACUUCUCAUUUUGUUCUAGGAUUCUUCUUUUUUGUGGGCCAUUUAUGGCAUGCAGGAAGAGCCCGAGCUGCUGCAGCAGGUUUUGAAAAGGGAAUCGAUCGUGAUUUGGAACCUGUUCUUUACAUGAACCCUCUUAACUAAGAUUUUCUUAUUUAUACCUGUUCUACUUUUUUUCUUUUCUAGUUAGAGACCAGCGUCUUGGAGCUAAUGUGGGAUCCGCUCAAGGACCCACAGGUUUAGGUAAAUAUCUAAUGCGUUCCCCAACUGGGGAGGUUAUCUUUGGAGGGGAAACUAUGCGUUUUUGGGACCUUCGUGCUCCAUGGUUAGAACCUCUAAGGGGCCCCAACGGUUUGGACUUGAGUAGGUUGAAAAAAGACAUACAACCUUGGCAAGAACGACGCUCAGCAGAAUAUAUGACCCACGCUCCUUUAGGCUCUUUAAAUUCCGUGGGUGGCGUAGCUACCGAGAUCAAUGCAGUUAAUUAUGUCUCUCCUAGAAGUUGGUUAUCAACUUCUCAUUUUGUUCUAGGAUUCUUCUUUUUUGUGGGCCAUUUAUGGCAUGCAGGAAGAGCCCGAGCUGCUGCAGCAGGUUUUGAAAAGGGAAUCGAUCGUGAUUUGGAACCUGUUCUUUACAUGAACCCUCUUAACUAAGAUUUUCUUAUUUAUGCCUGUUCUACUUUUUUUCUGUUCUGGCUCGGUUAUUCCAUCUAGCCGAGCCAUUCAUUCCUUUUUAUGAAAGAAAGAUAAGGGACAGAAAAAAAAUGAAAGAAACAAACGUAUUCAAUAAGCAAAAGGAGAGAGAGGGAUUCGAACCCUCGAUAGUUCCUAGAACUAUACCGGUUUUCAAGACCGGAGCUAUCAACCACUCAGCCAUCUCUCCACAGCCUAAUCCUUAUUUUACUCCUACAAAUAGAACAUAGCCAUAUAAAAAAUAAAAAGAUUUAUUAGCCUCUAGAAAGAUAUCAGAUACAAGUUCCUUUUCGAUAUAUCUCUGUAUACUGUAUACACGGAUACAGGAUCCGCUAUACCCGCUUGUGAAAUAAAGAGUAAAUAAUCUCUUCUCACCCCCAUAUCCAAAUAAAAAAGCGGUUUAAGUAAUAAAUUUGAAUUAAAGAGAAGAAUCAAUGGAUUCAUGAUUAAACCCCUCCUACUUCUUGUAUUUUUUUACAAUUUUGGUUUAAGUGAGGGAUCAAAUAUGUAGUCAACUUUAUUUGAUGG
rnacentral:lncRNA from 1 species